UACGUAGGGUCCGAGCGUUGUCCGGAAUUACUGGGCGUAAAGAGCUCGUAGGUGGUUUGUCGCGUUGUUCGUGAAAACUCACAGCUCAACUGUGGGCGUGCGGGCGAUACGGGCAGACUGGAGUACUGCAGGGGAGACUGGAAUUCCUGGUGUAGCGGUGAAAUGACGCAGAUAGUCAGGAAGAACACCCGUGGCGAAGGCGGCUCUCUGGGACGGUACUGGACGCUGAGACGCGAAAGCCGUGGGGAGCGAACAGG
rnacentral:rRNA from 1 species